rnacentral:lncRNA from 1 species
CAGUGGUAAGUCACUCUCCCUUCUCUGGCCAUGGCCCAGUCAGGAGAGAAGAGUCACAUCAUCUACAUUCUAAAUCCAGAGAUGUGUUACAAUCUCUCCUAUAGGCAACGGUCAGAUAAGAGAGGAGGGCCAUGCCAGAUAGUUGAUGGGCCCUAAAUGUCACAAUGCCCAGUGUGGGCAGGGUCCAGGCAGAAGUCCCACAUCACCUUGGUGAUUAACCCAACAGUAUGUCGCAAUGCCUUCUGAGGUCAGGGCCAAGGCACAAAAGUGACAUAACCUUGGUGUUUGGUCCAACAAUAUGUCAGAAUCUCUUCUUGAGCAGAACCUAGCAAAAAGAGAAGAGUCACAUCAGCUGGAUGGUGGCCAAGAGAUAUGUCACAAUCCCAUCCGUGGGCUGAGCUAAGGAAGGAGAAUAAAAUCACCCAAGUGUUGAGCAGAGGCAGAUGUUAAAAUCACUCCUGCAGGAAGGCCCAGGGAUGAGAUUAACAAUACUGAACAUGUCCUUGUUUUAGGUAUGAAAGUCAACACCUGUAUUUUGGGUCUAAGUACAUGAGACACAAUGGUGGACAAUCUAUACUGAGAGCCUCAAUUCUUCCUGUAGACAGUGUCUCCUCAGUGGAGUAAAAGCCUCACGGUGUGUUGAAUCUUGGUCUGAGAGUCGCCAACCCACUGGUGGACCGGAUCCACUUACAAGAGUCAAUGUUCAAACUUUCAACUGUCUCCAGCUGUGAGAUUCAGAACCUCAACAGUGAGUUGUGUUCAUGUGUGUGGAUGACAAUCUUUAUUGUGGGAUGGGGGUGCAUAUGAGUGUUACAGUCUCAUCUGUGUACUAGGCCCUGUUAGGACGCUUACUGGCCUGAGGCUUUAACUGGUAUGCAUGAGAGUCACAAUUCUCUCUGAGUCCCUAUGUUGGUAUUAACCCAUGAUCAUACCUAUGGCCCUGAACCCAGGUAUGAGAACCAACAUCUCUUCAACUGUCUGGGUCCAGAUAGGAGAGUCUUCUACUGGCUAUAAGCUGGGUUAAGAAAUUAGUCAGCAUUCCAACUGUGGCUGGAUGUUUACAUAUAAUGCUCGCAAUACAAACUGCAUGCUGAGCUCAGCUGCCCCCCUCCUCUAGAAAGCCUUCCUGGGUUUCUCCGUGUCACCAUAAGAUCAUGUCUGCCUAUCUCUAACAGCUCCAACUUUUCUAGUUUGUCAUUGUCUCCCUUUGUCAUGGUGCUUUAAAUUCCCUCAGGACUGCACUGUUUGGCUUCUAGAAUGUCCCCAGAGUACAGGGCAAGGGCUGGCCCAGAUAAGGAACCCCAUGAGAGUUUACUAAGCAAAUGCUGAAUGGUGUGACUAAGCCCCCACCUGUGGUCCCCAACCACUGGCCCACCCUGCCCCAGUGACUUGCAGCUCUCCUCUGAGGAUUCCACUGUGAGGUGGUGCAGGCCUCUGGAAAGGUGGCGUGGGUCCCAUCAGGUGACCCCUGGGUGCUGGCCCUGCCAGACCACAGCAGACUGAGGAGCAGCAGCAGGCCACCUGUGCCACAACAGAAGGAACUGACCCACUGGAGCCGGGGCUGGGGUCCCCAGGCACAGGGUGUUCUGUGGGUGGGACAGCUGGCCAGGCUGGGCACGUGCAUCCCCUUGGCUCCACCAAGUCAAGCAGUGUCCCAGCCACAAGAACCACCAUGGUGCUGACCAUCAUGCAAUAGUAGAGGCCCCCAUCACACAUCUGGACACAGGAGAGAGAAGACGAAAUGGGUCACAUGAAAGGUACUGGAGACCUAGGUGUUAGUAUUUCUCUACCCUAGGUCACUUUACAACCUUGGAGAGGUCAUUUGACACCUCUGUGCCUCAGUUUCUUCAUCUGCAAAAUGGAGAUGGUGUCCCGGACUUUGCAGCACUAUUUUGAAGGUCAGAGAUAAUGGGUAUCAGCACUGCGCCUGGGACAUGGUAGGAACUAAGUGUGACACUCUAGGCCUCUCCCCAGUCCUCAGGAGCCUCAUCUACUGCUGCAUAUUAAGAUUCCCCACCCACGGCCGGGUGUGGUGGCUCACACCUGUAAUCCCAGCGCUUUGGGAGGCCAAGGUGGGAGGAUCACCGGAGGUCAGGAGUUCGAGAUCAGCCUGGCCAACAUGGUGAAACCCCAUCUCUACUAAAAAUACAAAAAUUAGCCGGGCGUGCUAGCACAUGCCUGUAAUCCCAGCUACUCAGGAGACUGAGGCAGGAGAAUCGCUUGAACCCAGGAGGCGAAGGUUGCAGUGAGCUGAGAUCACGCCAUCGCACACCAGCCUGGGGGACAAGAGCAAGACUUUGUCUCAAACAAUAAUAAUAAUAAUGAUUGCCCACCCUGAUGCCUUAUGGGAAGCUGAGAGGGAGGAGAAUGAAUACUUGUUGGGUGGACCAGGCCUGCCAGAAUCAGGGUUUGCUGGCUAUGCUCUGCCUUACUUCACGUGGUCACAAUCCCAUGAGAUCCACGCUGUUAACUCCACUGGACAAAGAAGACACUGGGACCUAGGGCAAACAGAACAUUGAAACAGAGCAUUCAAAUGUCUGAAACUGAAACUAACAACAUGGAGCAAAACUUUGUGCAAAAAGAUGUUCACCAUGCCCUUGUUUAUAAGGGUUAUCAUUUGAAAAAUGCUCAAGUGUCCAAUUAUAAAGAAAUGGGGAUGCAGGUUAUGAAGAUGAGAGCGUGAGACAGCGAGCUGUAAGGGAAGCAGGUUACCCAGGGAUGGACAGAGGAUGGGCCCUGGCCCUCAUGUUAUGAAGCUUCUCCACGUGGUGCCUUCCUCUGUCAAAUGGGCAGAAGAAUAUCCUUUUGAUAGAAUUAAAAUAUACGAAAACCA